GAUCAAGGCCUACUAUGCAGGCCACGUGCUGGGGGCAGCCAUGUUCCAGAUUAAAGUGGGCUCAGAGUCUGUGGUCUACACGGUCAGUGGAAGGGCUUGAGGCUCGGGAGGGGCUGCUGGGGUGGGAGGCACCCUCCUCAUGGCAUCCUUGAUCGUUCACCAGGGUGAUUAUAACAUGACCCCAGACCGACACUUAGGAGCUGCCUGGAUUGACAAGUGCCGCCCCAACCUGCUCAUCACAGAGUCCACGUACGCCACGACCAUCCGUGACUCCAAGCGCUGCCGGGAGCGAGACUUCCUGAAGAAAGUCCACGAGACCGUGGAGCGUGGUGGGAAGGUGCUGAUACCUGUGUUCGCGCUGGGCCGCGCCCAGGAGCUCUGCAUCCUCCUGGAGACCUUCUGGGAGCGCAUGAACCUGAAGGUGCCCAUCUACUUCUCCACGGGGCUGACCGAGAAGGCCAACCACUACUACAAGCUGUUCAUCCCCUGGACCAACCAGAAGAUCCGCAAGACUUUCGUGCAGAGGAACAUGUUUGAGUUCAAGCACAUCAAGGCCUUCGACCGGGCUUUUGCUGACAACCCAGGACCGAUGGUUGUGUUUGCCACGCCAGGAAUGCUGCACGCUGGGCAGUCCCUGCA
rnacentral:sRNA from 1 species